CCCUUAGAUGUUCUGGGCCGCACGCGCGCUACACUGAUGCAUUCAACGAGUUCUUCCUGGUCCGAGAGGAAUGGGUAACCUUUUGAAAGUGCAUCGUGCUAGGGAUAGACUAUUGCAAUUAUUGGUCUUCAACGAGGAAUUCCUAGUAGACGUAGUUCAUCAGACUGCAUCGAUUACGUCCCUGCCCUUUGUACACACCGCCCGUCGCUCCUACCGAUUGGAUGAUCCGGUGAGCUAUUCGGACCUACGCCUUGUCGAUUUUCGGCUUUGUGUGGGAAAGUCUCGCGAACCUUAUCAUCUAGAGGAAGGAGAAGUCGUAACA
rnacentral:rRNA from 1 species